ensembl:snRNA U4 U4 spliceosomal RNA
AACAUAGCUCACAGGGGCAGCAUCAUAGCCAAUGAGGUUAAUCUGAAGCAUGAUUAUUGCUAGUUGAAAACUUUCCUCUGAAAAUAGGCAUUUGGAGUGAGUUUUAUUUCCUUCCUCAGUUUAACUGUUUACUUAACC